UCUCCGUUGGUGAACCAGCGGAGGGAUCAUUACCGAGUUUACAACUCCCAAACCCCAUGUGAACCAUACCAAACUGUUGCCUCGGCGGGGUCACGCCCCGGGUGCGUCGCAGCCCCGGAACCAGGCGCCCGCCGGAGGGACCAACCCAACUCUUUCUGUAGUCCCCUCGCGGACGUUAUUUUUACAGCUCUGAGCAAAAAUUCAAAAUGAAUCAAAACUUUCAACAACGGAUCUCUUGGUUCUG
rnacentral:misc_RNA from 1 species